rnacentral:rRNA from 1 species
UACGGAGGGGGCUAGCGUUGUUCGGAAUCAUUGGGCGUAAAGCGCACGUAGGCGGACUCUUAAGUCGGUGGUGAAAUCCUGGAGCUCAACUCCAGAACUGCCUUCGAUACUGGGAGUCUCGAGUCCGGGAGAGGUGAGUGGAACUGCGAGUGUAGAGGUGAAAUUCGUAGAUAUUCGCAAGAACACCAGUGGCGAAGGCGGCUCACUGGCCCGGUACUGACGCUGAGGUGCGAAAGCGUGGGGAGCAAACAGG